rnacentral:rRNA from 1 species
AACGAACGCUGGCGGCGCGUCUUAAGCAUGCAAGUCGAACGGCAAGAGAAGAGCUUGCUCUUCUCCUAGAGUGGCGGACUGGUGAGUAACACGUGGGUAAUCUACCCUUGAGAUGGGGAUAGCCGUUAGAAAUAGCGGGUAAUACCGAAUACACUCAUUUGCAUAAAGGCAGGUGAGGAAAGGAAGCUACGGCUUCGCUCGAGGAUGAGCUUGCGUCCCAUUAGCUAGUUGGUGAGGUAAAGGCCCACCAAGGCGACGAUGGGUAUCCGGCCUGAGAGGGUGAUCGGACACAUUGGGACUGAGAUACGGCCCAAACUCCUACGGGAGGCAGCAGCUAAGAAUAUUCCGCAGUGGACGGAAGUCUGACGGAGCGACGCCGCGUGGAUGAAGAAGGCUGAAAAGUUGUAAAAUCCUUUUGCUGAUGAAGAAUAAGGAUAGGAGGGAAUGCCUAUCUGAUGACGGUAAUCGGCG